rnacentral:rRNA from 1 species
CCUACGGGAGGCUGCAGUGAGGAAUAUUGGUCAAUGGACGAGAGUCUGAACCAGCCAAGUCGCGUGAAGGAUGACUGCCCUAUGGGUUGUAAACUUCUUUUAUAAAGGAAUAAAACGAGGCACGUGUGCCUUUUUGCAUGUACUUUAUGAAUAAGGAUCGGCUAACUCCGUGCCAGCAGCCACGGUAAUUCGGAGGAUCCGAGCGUUAUCCGGAUUUAUUGGGUUUAAAGGGAGCGUAGAUGGGUUGUUAAGUCAGUUGUGAAAGUUUGCGGCUCAACCGUAAAAUUGCAAUUGAUACUGGCAGUCUAGAGUACAGUUGAGGUAAGCGGAAUUCGUGGUGUAGCGGUGAAAUGCUUAGAUAUCACGAAGAACCCCGAUUGCGAAGGCAGCUUACUAAACUGUGACUGACAUUGAUGCGCGAAAGUGUGGGUAUCAAACAGGAGUAGAUACCCUUGUAGUC